UGAGUUUGAAUUUGAGUGUGCAUAAGGCUAUCUCUCAAGAGAGAGAGAGGCAUUCAUCGCAUGAUAAAUGCUCAAAAUGGGCCUGCUCAGUAUGAGGUAAGCUACCCAAAUUUCUUUUUGUACUUAAAUUAAUGAAAGGAUACGCUAAAAGUAUGCCUUGUUUAGAAGAAUCUCUGAUCCUCAAGUUCCUAACAUGAGUUAAUAUUUUUCAUUUAACUUGUGAAAUGUUUGUUUUUGUCAAGCUUUCAUUUCUGUAAUAAAGCUAAAAAUUAAAACCAGUAUUUUUUUUUGAAAGUUAUUGUUUUAAUUGUUUGAAAAUAAAUUGAUGGCAUAAGCAGAUAGCUAAAUCCGUAUCACCAUGAUACUGACCUUUAAACUGUGAAUAACAACAAUUCUACUGGCUGUGAACUUUGGCAUUUUCUUUUCAGGGCAAGGCAUGUGAAAAUAAUAAGGAAGACCGAGUAUGAGUAUCCUAGCUACUUGGUCAUCAGCAAAAAACUCCUUGAAUGGAAAUUUUCAUCUCCUUGGUUCAAAAUUACAUAAAAACUAUAGCAUACAUUGUCAAAAUCUAAGCUUUGUCUGUGUCAUUCCUGCAAGAAGAUGGCACAUUGCUUAAGAGUUGCUAUAACAGGUUUGUAACUGUGUAUGAAGUUACUGUAAAAAGUAAGAAAUGAUGACUGAGUGCUUGGCCCUCGCUCUCCCUCUCCCUCUCCCU
rnacentral:misc_RNA from 1 species